UACGAAGGGGGCUAGCGUUGCUCGGAAUUACUGGGCGUAAAGGGAGCGUAGGCGGAUAGUUCAGUCAGAGGUGAAAGCCCAGGGCUCAACCUUGGAAUUGCCUUUGAUACUGGCUGUCUUGAGUAUGGGAGAGGUUAGCGGAACUCCGAGUGUAGAGGUGAAAUUCGUAGAUAUUCGGAAGAACACCAGUGGCGAAGGCGGCUACCUGGCCCAUUCUUGACGCUGAGGCGCGAAAGCGUGGGGAGCAAACAGG
rnacentral:rRNA from 1 species